rnacentral:rRNA from 2 species
UGAGGAAUAUUGGUCAAUGGACGGAAGUCUGAACCAGCCAAGUCGCGUGAAGGAUGAAGGUUCUAUGGAUUGUAAACUUCUUUUGUCUGAGGGUAAAAAAGGCCACGUGUGGCUUCUUGCAAGUAUCAGACGAAUAAGCAUCGGCUAACUCCGUGCCAGCAGCCGCGGUAAUACGGAGGAUGCGAGCGUUAUCCGGAUUUAUUGGGUUUAAAGGGUGCGCAGGCGGUUUGUUAAGUCAGUGGUAAAAGCGUGUGGCUCAACCAUACCAAGCCAUUGAAACUGGCGAACUUGAGUGCAAACGAGGUAGGCGGAAUGUGAUGUGUAGCGGUGAAAUGCUUAGAUAUGUCACAGAACCCCGAUUGCGAAGGCAGCUUACCAGCAUGCAACUGACGCUCAGGCACGAAAGCGUGGGUAUCAAACAGG